CGUGUGAACGGCCAUGCCCUUUACUGGGUGUGGUCGGGAACCAUGACUUUUACUGUGAAAAAAUUAGAGUGUUCAAAGCAGGCUUACGCCCGAAUACAUUAGCAUGGAAUAAUAAAAUAGGACGUGCGGUCCUAUUUUGUUGGUUUCUAGGAUCGCCGUAAUGAUUAAUAGGGAUAGUUGGGGGCAUUCGUAUUCAAUUGUCAGAGGUGAAAUUCUUGGAUUUAUUGAAGACGAACUACUGCGAAAGCAUUUGCCAAGGAUGUUUUCAUUGAUCAAGAACGAAGGUUAGGGGAUCGAAAACGAUAAGAUACCGUUGUAGUCUUAACAGUAAACGAUGCCGACUAGGGAUCGGAUGAGGCUUCUAAUGACUCAUUCGGCACCUGAAGAGAAAUCUUUAAGUCAGGUUCGGGGGGGAGUAUGGUCGCAAGGCUGAAACUUAAAGGAAUUGACGGAAGGGCACCACCAGGUGUGGAGCCUGCGGCUUAAUUUGACUCAACACGGGGAAACUCACCAGGUCCAGACACGACAAGGAUUGACAGAUUGAUAGCUCUUUCUUGAUUUCGUGGUUGGUGGUGCAUGGCCGUUCUUAGUUGGUGGAGUGAUUUGUCUGGUUAAUUCCGAUAACGAACGAGACCUUAACCUGCUAAAUAGCCCGGCCGACUUUGGUUGGUCGCUGGCUUCUUAGAGGGACUAUCGACGUCUAGUCGAUGGAAGUUUGAGGCAAUAACAGGUCUGUGAUGCCCUUAGAUGUUCUGGGCCGCACGCGCGCUACACUGACCGAACCAGCGAGUUUUUUUCCUUGGCCGGAAGGCCUGGGUAAUCUUGUGAAAUUCGGUCGUGAUGGGGAUAGAGCAUUGCAAUUAUUGCUCUUCAACGAGGAAUACCUAGUAAGCGUGAGUCAUCAGCUCGCGUUGAAUUCGUCCCUGCCCUUUGUACACACCGCCCGUCGCUACUACCGAUUGAAUG
rnacentral:rRNA from 1 species